AAGGGGAGGGGGUUGCGGGGGCCAGAAAAGGGAUUGUGGAUUGCAAAUUAAUGAAAUUAACCUAAUCUUUCCCAUUCAGCGGCCCCGCCGCGGGCCGGCCGAGCUGGGCGGGCGUCCUAAUUACUCCGGUUAAUCUCAUUAAUUCCAUUGUGCGGCGCAGUUAACAACUCCUUGCGCCCGACCUCUCCGCCCCCACCCUUUUUUUUUUUUUUUUUUUUUUCUCAGAUUGGGUCCUAUUAUUGGGUGCGAUUUCCUCUGCGAGAAACUCAAAUUCAUUGUGGCCAGUUUUACUUUGAGGCUACUUUUUCUCCCCACGUCGGAAUUUGUUUUGUUUUAGAAAAUGCGAGGGGCUGCGUCCUCUUUCAAGCAAGAUUAAAAAUUCCGCCUUUCCUCCGAGCCCCCAAGCACUCACCGCCUAAUUUCACCUCAGUUUUUUUUUUUUUAUCUUGAGGUUUUCUCCCGAGUGGAACUGGUUAACCCCACCCCAACCUUUUUGUUUUUGCAAAGGCCAAAAUUUCUAAAGGCAAAAACGACGAAAGAGGUGCGUUGUGGUUCUUAAAAUACAUGCAUAUAUAUAUUUUUUGCAGUCACUUUGGCUCUGAAAUCUACCGUAAGAAUCCGUAGGCCCUUACACAGCGGACACCAAAUUCAGCCGCUAUUUAAAAUUCGCCACCAAGAGCAGCAUUCUAGAAGCGAUGCUUCCCGCUGCUCCCUGUGUGGGGGCCGGUAGGUUUAUGUUUGUUUGCUUUUUUUCUUUUCUUUGGUAAAAAUCGCUUUUGGAAACGGGGUGUCUUCUCCCCCAUACUGUUUUUGUUUUCAAUCCCCAAACGGGGCUUUUGGGAUUCCUCACCCCAUUCCCCAACAACUGAGUCGAAUUUCCCCCCGUGCGUCUCGCCGGUUCCCCGACUGGGACAGGCCACCUAGCUGUCCUUCGCCCAACAGGCCCAGGCUGGACUCCCGGAGCCCCGGCGGCCUGGCCCAAGCCGGACUCUGCUCGCGGCAGGCGGCCGCGGUGAUUUGCGGGAUCCUCCGCGCGGCACGGCCGGUCCGCCGGAGCUGCCGGAGGCGCAUCCAAGCCCACCACCGUGCGCAGGCGGCAGAGCGCCUUUCGAGAAGCCUCUCUCCCGGUCACAGAGCACAGCUCAUAAUCGGAUGCCCUUAAGAAGAUUUUUUCGUGGCAUGGGCAAAAAGCCGGCGUGUCCCUUACAAAGACUUUCCCGAGAGACCUCGCCCCUCUGUGAAGUUCUGGAAGCAGUGAGGGGAGACAGGAAGCAACAGAGACCAGUUUGUGCACAGCUGAGCCACCAAGCAGAGUGAGGUCUUCUGUAUAGAGAGACUGGGAGACAAAAUGUGAUUAAGAAAGAAGACUGGCCGGGAAAGACAGGAGGAGGUGUUUUAUUUACAUUUCUUACGCAUUCCAACACAUCUUACUGUGGUCAGCAAACCGGAAAGGAAAGGACAUAUUUCAUAACCUAAAGAAGGCACCAGACUUUUGUUUUGUUUUGUUUUUCCUCAGCAUUCUACAUUCCUAUCUUACCCUUCUGCCCAUUUUGAAAUGAAUAAGGGUAGAUUUUUCCUGUUAGCCGUAGUUGUAAAGUUCUUGGAAAAACAAUUGAUUUGCUAAUAAAAUAUUUCCGUAGCUUUCAGCUGCUUAACUUUUAGGAACUUACCCCGAAAAUGUGUUUGUGAUCAAAGUUAGCUAGGCGAGACACGUAUUGGGGGUAAAAAAGGAAGACUUAAUACUCAAGAGAUAAUUUGGGAAGUUGUGAGUUGGGGUUUUUUGUUUUGUUUUGUUUUUGAAGGAAAGACUAUUAGAAAAUAAAACUGAAAAUUAUGGGGAAAGACAGCCAUGCCUGGGUGGCCGUGUUCCGUGUCCAGAAAGGUUGGUUAUCAGCAGAGAUAUGUGUAACGUGUUUUCAUCUUUUUAGAGAGGACUUGAUGAAAUGCUCAUUGGACAAUACGUCAACUUCAGAUCUGGAUGCGAGAUGGGUAGCAGCUUAGAAGUCUGGAAUGUGUCUUAUCGUCACCGCACAUCUAGAUUUGGACCAGCCGCAUUUGGACGAGUCCUCAGGAGCCACCUGUGGCUGGUGGCCACCCCGUGGAACAGCGCAGGGAUUAGACCGUGAAACAAAGACUGGGGCGGGUUGAAAUCCCAACGCUUCCGCUUAUUAGAUUCGUGACUGUCAGGCAGAUCGUUUAAUCACCUUCAGUCUUCAUGUUUCCUAGACAGUAAGAUGGGAUUUGACCAGGGAAUCUAUCUCUUGGGUCGUUGUAAUGGUCUGUGUGAAGUGCCCUAUGGAGGGUCAUUCACUCCUUCACUCGUGGUGCUAAUUCGGUCAUUCUAUCUAUACAACAAGGAGGUGUGGCUGUGUGCCAGGUGGGACACUUGGCAGGGAGUGACCACCCCAUACAAGGGUUCUAUUUAUACUGAACAGCCCCGCCCCGAGCAAGUAUAGA